UUAAAGGAGUUAGCGAGUAUAGCAAUGUCGUCGGGCGUAAUAAGUUUCGCUGGGUUGACGUGUGAAGCACGCUUCUAAUCGCCCUCGGGCAAUUUUUGACUCUGGCCUCAAAUCAGGUAGGACUACCCGCUGAACUUAAGCAUAUCAAUAAGCGGAGGAAAAGAAACUAACAAGGAUUCCCCUAGUAGCGGCGAGUGAAGCGGGAAGAGCUCAAAUUUGUAAUCUGGCGUCCUUCGGGCGUCCGAGUUGUAAUCUAUAGAAGUGUUUUCCGUGCCGGACCAUGUCCAAGUCCCUUGGAACAGGGUAUCAAAGAGGGUGACAAUCCCGUACUUGACAUGACCACCGGUGCUCUGUGAUACACUUUCUACGAGUCGAGUUGUUUGGGAAUGCAGCUCAAAAUGGGUGGUAAAUUCCAUCUAAAGCUAAAUAUUGGCGAGAGACCGAUAGCGAACAAGUACCGUGAGGGAAAGAUGAAAAGCACUUUGGAAAGAGAGUUAAACAGUACGUGAAAUUGUUGAAAGGGAAACGAUUGAAGUCAGUCGUGUUCUUUGGACUCAGCCGGUUCUUCCGGUCUAUUUCCUUUGAACGGGUCAACAUCAGUUUUGUCCGGUGGAUAAAGGCAGGAAGAAAGUGGCUCCCUCGGGAGUGUUAUAGCUUUCUGUCACAUACACUGGAGGAGACUGAGGACUGCAGCUCGCCUUUUGGCCGGGGUUCGCCCACGU
rnacentral:rRNA from 1 species